AUCAACUUUGCAUCCAGCCACAUAAAACCAUCAACUGAUCUAUGCACCAAACAUGGAAAGCACUAAAUGGAGGAGAUAUUAUAUCUUAUACUAUGUGGCCGUGCAUCAUGCCAAUCAGACCACCUCAUUCCUAUAGACCAUGUUGCCGCAAGGUUCAGAGAGGUGCUGAUGUGCCUAAAGUUGAAUGCCAUAUAAAAUCCAUAAAUACCAAAAAGUACCUGCGAAAAAAAUCCACACUCACUAGAAUGUUCCAACGGGAGAGAUCGUCUGAUGCUUAAAUUAGCCA
rnacentral:lncRNA from 1 species